CCUACGGGGUGCAGCAGUGAGGAAUAUUGGUCAAUGGCCGUAAGGCUGAACCAGCCAAGUAGCGUGAGGGAAGACUGCCCUAUGGGUUGUAAACCUCUUUUAUGCGGGGAUAAAGGUGUCCACGUGUGGAUGUUUGCAGGUACCGCAUGAAUAAGGACCGGCUAAUUCCGUGCCAGCAGCCGCGGUAAUACGGAAGGUCCGGGCGUUAUCCGGAAUGACUGGGCGUAAAGGGUGCGUAGGUGGUUUGAUAAGUUGGUAGCGUAACUCCGAGGCUCAACCUCGGCACUACUACCAAAACUGUCGGACUUGAGUGCAGGAGGGGCAACUGGAAUUCCUAGUGUAGCGGUGGAAUGCGUAGAUAUUAGGAGGAACACCAGUGGCGAAGGCGAGUUGCUGGACUGUAACUGACACUGAGGCACGAAAGCGUGGGGAGCAAACAGGAUUAGAUACCCGAGUAGUC
rnacentral:rRNA from 1 species